ensembl:lncRNA LINC00970 long intergenic non-protein coding RNA 970
GUUAGUGCUCUGUGGGUGGAUGAGGGGAAGCGGAGAGCAGGAAUGGCAGGAGAGCGGUGAGAGACCUCCGUCCCAGUGAGGAUGACAUGUUCUAACUCAGGAAAUGAAUAGAUGCUCUUGCGAUUGAAGAAAAAUCUACGCUGGAGGCAGACAGGCUGGCAGAUAAGGAGACUGAAGCAUCUAGAGUUGGAGUAAUUUCCACAAGAUCACAGAGGCAAGAUUUCACUCUGUCACCCAGACUGGAGUGCAGUGGCACAAACAUAGCUCACUGAAGCCUCAAACUCCUGGGCUCAAGAGAUCCUUCUGCUUCAGCCUCCUGAGUAGCUGGGACUUCAGAAUCCCAGUCCUCUCUCUCUCACUGACCCCGAAGAUAAGCAUUGGAAAGGGGAGCUUUGGGGAAAUGAAUCUGCCCUGUCAUCUGCGUAUAGAGCUAAUCUUAAAUCCCAACUGCCAAAUGGAUCCUGAGGUGUCAGAAACUCUCCCGAGAUAAGGGGGCUUCUAGCAACCAUCUGCAUUCUGGACCCAGCCGAAGAAGGAGGAGGAUAAGGAGAGAGAAAAGAAGAAUAAGAGGUAGAAGAAAAAGAAGAAUCAUGGAGACUUUUGAAUGCUCUUUGUCAGAAUCUCCAAAAUAUCUCAAGUCCAUUAUCUACUAGGAGAAUUCCACCUUAAAACAAGCUGAAUGUCCUUAUGGCUGACAUCUCAGCAUGGAAAAGUUUUGCUUAAGCAAUGACACACUGCAGUUGGAUCCUUCUCACCCACAUCUGGAAGCCACAUGUCAGCGGCAGCUAUAUAAAACGGUCAGACCAGCAAUCUUAGAGUGACAUUGUUUGCCAAAAUCCCAGGCAGCAUGGACCUCAGUCUUCUCUGGGUACUUCUGCCCCUAGUCACCAUGGCCUGGGGCCAGUAUGGCGAUUAUGGAUACCCAUACCAGCAGUAUCAUGACUACAGCGAUGAUGGGUGGGUGAAUUUGAACCGGCAAGGCUUCAGCUACCAGUGUCCCCAGGGGCAGGUGAUAGUGGCCGUGAGGAGCAUCUUCAGCAAGAAGGAAGGUUCUGACAGACAAUGGAACUACGCCUGCAUGCCCACGCCACAGAGCCUCGGGGAACCCACGGAGUGCUGGUGGGAGGAGAUCAACAGGGCUGGCAUGGAAUGGUACCAGACGUGCUCCAACAAUGGGCUGGUGGCAGGAUUCCAGAGCCGCUACUUCGAGUCAGUGCUGGAUCGGGAGUGGCAGUUUUACUGUUGUCGCUACAGCAAGAGGUGCCCAUAUUCCUGCUGGCUAACAACAGAAUAUCCAGGUCACUAUGGUGAGGAAAUGGACAUGAUUUCCUACAAUUAUGAUUACUAUAUCCGAGGAGCAACAACCACUUUCUCUGCAGUGGAAAGGGAUCGCCAGUGGAAGUUCAUAAUGUGCCGGAUGACUGAAUACGACUGUGAAUUUGCAAAUGUUUAGAUUUGCCACAUACCAAAUCUGGGUGAAAGGAAAGGGGCCGGGGACAGGAGGGUGUCCACAUAUGUUAACAUCAGUUGGAUCUCCUAUAGAAGUUUCUGCUGCUCUCUUUCCUUCUCCCUGAGCUGGUAACUGCAAUGCCAACUUCCUGGGCCUUUCUGACUAGUAUCACACUUCUAAUAAAAUCCACAAUUAAA